UUGCUUCCAUCUCCUAGCCUACUCAUCGGUGGCUGAUGAGAGUGAGUGAGAGUGCGAUCUAGGUCUUAGAAUAGAGAGUUACUGUGGUCUUUUUGCUGUAAAAGGUAACUGCGAUUUAUUUGCUUAUCUUUAGUGGAAACAAAUGGAAGUGUAUGACAAACGUUUCUCAUUGUGUUUCAGGCACAGACAACUAUUUUACCAAAGGAAAUACAUUCAAUAAAAUUCAAUCCAUCUUGC
rnacentral:lncRNA from 1 species